rnacentral:rRNA from 1 species
GAUCCUGGCUCAGGAUGAACGCUAGCUACAGGCUUAACACAUGCAAGUCGCGGGGCAGCAUGAAGUCAGCUUGCUGACUUUGAUGGCGACCGGCGCACGGGUGAGUAACGCGUAUCCAACCUGCCUGUUACCACGGCACAGCCCGUCGAAAAACGGAUUAAUGCCGUAUGUGGUCCUUUGCGGGCAUCUAAUUAGGACUAAAGGUUCGGCGGUAACGGAUGGGGAUGCGUCCGAUUAG